rnacentral:lncRNA from 1 species
AUGAACACUACAAUGGAACAAACUUCACCAUGGCGGCAAACACAUCAGCAAUGGCCAGACAAAGACAGGGGAAGGGUCACCUUGGAGUGAUUAGCAUGGCUGCCAAAGCGUAAUCCCUUUGCAAACAACUAAUGGCGGCACUGACAAGUUCCUACAGGAAGAUGCUUGGCAGGCGAGCACUGUGGGAAAGGCUGUCUUCCACCUACGGAAACUCGGAUGGAAAUGGAAUCGUUUGCUUUUCCUUCCGUGUGUCUGAGAGAUUCCCCCAGUGUCCAUGGGGUUUUUCAUAAAGGUGUCAGGCCCCAUCAGAACUUUGAUGACAGCCACACACAUUAUCAAAUAAA